CAUUAAAGUGGGAGAAUAGUCAAUAUACUGACUUUGUUUUGUUACACUGUAUUGUUGGUAUUUGGGCUGGUUUUUAUUGCGCAUCACUAUCUGCAUUAUGAUUUUAUUGUGGCCCUGACCGGAAGUUGUGAUUUGUAUCUUUCCGCCGCUUAGACGUUAUUUUCCAAUGUUUGUUUGCUCAACGCCAUGCGCCCUUUUUUUUACGUUGUGCGUCACAAAAGCGGUAGUAGUCAAACGCCCCGGGCGUUUACAUGCGGUUCCCCUCAGUGCCUGCAGUCAGCCGGUAAAACCCUAAAGGAUGGACAAAAUUAUUUUCAACGAGUCCCGCUGUGGGCACAAGCUAGCUGCCCCUAAAUCCGUGUGUGCGUGUGUGUGACACAAAUAUCAACAUUAACAUUUGAAACCUUUCUCUGUCUGCAUCCAGGACUUAUGGAGACACAGAGGUGCCACCCCAGCUGCAUUCAGGACCCACCAGGUGUGCAGCUUUAUACAGAGGCUGGUAGGAUGACAAAGGCCGGGGUCAGCUUGCCGGUUUCCACUUUAACCGUUCAUCCCAGAGCAAUCAUGUGACCCCCUAAACUGAUAUGGAGGGAUCUGGAGUUGCAAGCUUUUCAAACAGCAGCAAGUCAGUUGUAUGCCAUGCAUUUUAGCUGGGGAGUAAUGGGGGCAGGUCGAUGCAGAUGGCCAGACAAGCUGCAGCCUCGUCCAUACCUCCAGAGAGCCGUAUUGUCUGUCCUGGAAUGCUCUCUGGGUGACCUCUGACCUCUCUGGUGUGAAGGAGAAUGCUGACUGUAACUUCACGGUAAUGGUCUGCGUUACACACAGUAAAAUCAUCACACCAAGGCUGCAUUACUGGAGGUUUUCCAAGAACAUAUUACCUCAGUGAUGCAUUAAAUGUGUCCACGUCACAAUCCAAGUGUUACAGUUAAUCCAUUUAUGAAGUGAGAGGUGCUGUGUUUUUCUUGUAUACACUGGAACCAAAUAUCCAGAGAGAAUAUUACAUUACAUUACAAAAGCUAUACAUUUUAAGGAAAUAUUCCACACUGGGGCAAUAAAUUCAUGCAUGUUUAUGAAAUAGAAUUAUGAAAAAGGCUAAUAUAAAAAGUAAGAUGGAUGUACAUGCAAUUUCACCUGACAAGGGAUAAGAAAUGGCAUUAGAGAACAAAUUUUCUUUAAUAAUACAUGACUACAAUUAAGCAUUAAGUAAAAAGAUCAGUGCUAACUCUGUGAGAAAACAGUUUACAAUGCAUUUUUCUUAUUUUCAUGGAAAACCAGCGAAGAAAAAAGAAUUACAUCAUUCUAGGCUACAACUGCGUUUGAUGGCAAAAACAUAGUCAGCUGUCUUAAUGGUAAAACUCUGGUUAAACAUUUCAUUUCUCUCCUUCCAGACGACCUCAAAGGACCAGAAUGCAAUGCAACCACAUAUUAAACUGUGUUUUGAUUAACAGAGGUUGGCUGUGACCACAGACACACCCCUGUGUUCACGAACAAGUUGGAUAGCUUUACUAUAUUUAUAGAUCUAUAUGCCCACCAUUGACUGAGAGCAACACUUUCACACCCAUUCUCUGGAGAGCUGUUGAAAGGCAUUCUGGGACUUUUUCUGUAAAGGAAUGACGAUUUUUCAUUGGACAAACUCUGUCUUUGGUUUCAGUCUGUUUUAGUGCAAGUCUGAUGAUACCAUCAUUGUAAUAACUACAGUCCCUGUGAAGGAGACACAGCUGUGAACGUCUGAAUCUUCAUGGUUGGAUUAACUGUUGUCUAUAUGAACAUUGCCAUGGAAUUAAAUUUACUGUACUUUUUCAUUUUCUUCUUCACUCUCAUCUUUUCCCCUCUCUCCGCCUCUCUUAGCAUCUGCACUUCAUCAGCUCUUUCUUUUUCCUUCCAGCAAUAACUAAUUCAACACAGCAUCUCCUUUGCUGAAAGAUCUGCGGUUCCUCAUAACUCAGUGUGUAUUCACUUUCCACAGAAUCAAUGGCUUUGGUUAAGAGCCCACCAAGUGACACAGGCUACAGUUGUUUAAAGAAGACACAAGUGGUGAAAGAAACUUAUUGUUUCAUUUCAUUUUUGCUUUCAUUUUUACAUAUUUUAAGUCUAUUGAGCCAUUAAAGACAGAAUGAUUUCUUGUUCUAAUGUGUAAUAUAGACUUAAAGUAAUAGUUUGACAUUUGGUUGGAAAUAUGCUCAUGUUCUUUCUAACCUUCAUGUCUGUACCGUAAAUGUAAGGCUAACGUCAGCAG